GAUGAACGCUGGCGGCGUGCCUAAUACAUGCAAGUCGAGCGAACGGACGAGAAGCUUGCUUCUCUGAUGUUAGCGGCGGACGGGUGAGUAACACGUGGAUAACCUACCUAUAAGACUGGGAUAACUUCGGGAAACCGAAGCUAAUACCGGAUGAUAUUUUGAACCGCAUGGUUCAAAAGUGAAAGACGGUCUUGCUGUCACUUAUAGAUGGAUCCGCGCUGCAUUAGCUAGUUGGUAAGGUAACGGCUUACCAAGGCAACGAUGCAUAGCCGACCUGAGAGGGUGAUCGGCCACACUGGAACUGAAACACGGUCCAGACUCCUACGGGAGGCAGCAGUAGGGAAUCUUCCGCAAUGGGCGAAAGCCUGACGGAGCAACGCCGCGUGAGUGAUGAAGGUCUUCGGAUCGUAAAACUCUGUUAUUAGGGAAGAACAUAUGUGUAAGUAACUGUGCACAUCUUGACGGUACCUAAUCAGAAAGCCACGGCUAACUACGUG
rnacentral:rRNA from 1 species